rnacentral:rRNA from 1 species
UGGGGAAUUUUGGACAAUGGGCGAAAGCCUGAUCCAGCAAUGCCGCGUGUGUGAAGAAGGCCUUCGGGUUGUAAAGCACUUUUGUCCGGAAAGAAAUCCUUGGCUCUAAUACAGUCGGGGGAUGACGGUACCGGAAGAAUAAGCACCGGCUAACUACGUGCCGGCAGCCGCGGUAAUACGUAGGGUGCAAGCGUUAAUCGGAAUUACUGGGCGUAAAGCGUGCGCAGGCGGUUUGCUAAGACCGAUGUGAAAUCCCCGGGUCUCAACCUGGGAACUGCAUUGGUGACUGGCAGGCUAGAGUAUGGCAGAGGGGGGUAGAAUUCCACGUGUGAGCAGUGAAAUGCGUAGAGAUGUGGAGGAAUACCGAUGGCGAAGGCAGCCCCCUGGGCCAAGUACCUGACGCUCAUGCACGAAAAGCGUGGGGGAGCAAAACAGGAUUUAGAUACCCCUGGUAGUCCACG